rnacentral:rRNA from 1 species
UACGUAGGUGGCAAGCGUGUCCGGAUUUAUUGGGUUUAAAGGGUGCGUAGGCGGUUCUAUAAGUCAGUGGUGAAAUACGGCAGCUCAACUGUCGAGGUGCCAUUGAUACUGCAGAACUUGAGUACAGACGAGGUAGGCGGAAUUGACGGUGUAGCGGUGAAAUGCUUAGAGAUCCGGAAGAACACCGGUGGCGAAGGCGGUCUGCUGGGCAGUUGCUGGACACUGAGGCGCGACAGCGUGGGGAGCAAACAGG